GAAGAAUAUCAGCAACUGUUCCCGCUCUGGAAUUGUAACCGUUAACACUUUAGACACGGUUAGGGAUGUUAUUCGUAUGGCAUUACCAGUACUGGGAUUAACUGGCUCAGAAAAAGAUUACCAACUGUGGGUGCAUGCUGGAAAGAACGUGCCUCCCUUCCCACUCCUGGGUAA